rnacentral:rRNA from 1 species
GGGAAGAGCUCAAAUUUAUAAUCUGGCACCUUCGGUGUCCGAGUUGUAAUCUCUAGAAAUGUUUUCCGCGUUGGACCGCACACAAGUCUGUUGGAAUACAGCGGCAUAGUGGUGAGACCCCCGUAUAUGGUGCGGACGCCCAGCGCUUUGUGAUACAUUUUCGAAGAGUCGAGUUGUUUGGGAAUGCAGCUCAAAUUGGGUGGUAAAUUCCAUCUAAAGCUAAAUAUUGGCGAGAGACCGAUAGCGAACAAGUACCGUGAGGGAAAGAUGAAAAGCACUUUGGAAAGAGAGUUAACAGUACGUGAAAUUGUUGGAAGGGAAACGCUUGAAGUCAGACUUGCUUGCCGAGCAAUCGGUUUGCAGGCCAGCAUCAGUUUUCCGGGAUGGAUAAUGGUAGAGAGAAGGUAGCAGUUUCGGCUGUGUUAUAGCUCUCUGCUGGAUACAUCUUGGGGGACUGAGGAACGCAGUGUGCCUUUGGCGGGGGUUUCGACCUCUUCACACUUAGGAUGCUGGUGGAAUGGCUUUAAACGACCCGUCUUGAAACCCG